UGUUUCGAUGUUUCAGAUUCUACUCAUCCCUUUAAUUUCUCCAUUUUCUUUUUCUUUCAUAUUCAAAUCAAAAGCAAAAUGACGAUAGCUACAUACUAUUAAUAUCCUGUUUUGACCAUUAAUUAAAAGAAUUGAUCAAACAAAUGUGCAGACGGACACAGCUUCUGUGCUUCAAGAAGCUCAUAUCUCUAUCAAUUUCCUUCAUGAUCAGAUUCAGGAGUUGCUGCAGAAAACACAGAAUUCAGCAGAAAACGUUCGACCAGUGCAAUUUUGGAAUGAGGAAGCAGAAAUCGGGCUCCGUGAGAGAGGCCUGUGUUUGGUUCCCAUAUCAACUCCUGAGAUCAACAGCCUCUGUUUUGGAAAGCAUAAUUUUAUGCCUGGAAGCGGAAACUACUAGUCAACUAGUGCUUGCAUGUGGCCUAAUAGAAUGCAUGAUAGAAUCAACCUAAUUUUGCACCAUUGUUAUUGUACCCUAAUAGAAUCACUUCUUUCUACGAGAUGUUAGUAGUGUAUAGACUUGUAAUUUUCGGAAACAGUCGAGAGUAACCGAAUGUAAAGAUUGGGUUGAGAGCAAAAAUUGUAACCCAAAUGAAUCCAAAUUAUGACAUUAGUUUCUAAUAUUUAUUUGGGAGCAAUACUCUAACAUGGUUUAAAACUUGAUGAAGCAUG